rnacentral:rRNA from 1 species
UUCGCAAUGCCCGAAAGGGUGAACGAGCGACGCCGCGUGCGGGAUGAAGGGUUUCGGCUUGUAAACCGCUUUUCUUUGGGAAGAAGGUCUGUCUCGUGAAGAUGGGUUCGACGGUACCAGAGGAAUAAGCCUCGGCUAACUCCGUGCCAGCAGCCGCGGUAAGACGGAGGAGGCGAGCGUUGUUCGGAAUUAUUGGGCGUAAAGGGCGCGUAGGCGGGCCGGCGCGUCGGAGUUGAAAGCCCCCGGCUCAACCGGGGGACGGGCGCCGAAACGGCCGCGUCUCGAGGCGAGAAGAGGGACCUGGAACUUCCGGUGGAGCGGUGAAAUGCGUUGAGAUCGGACGGAACACCUGCGGCGAAAGCGAGGUCCUGGGCUCGUACUGACGCUGAGGCGCGAAAGCCAGGGGAGCGAGCGGGAUUAGAUACCCCGGUAGUCCUAGCCGUAAACGAUGGGCACAAGUAGAGGGGUUUU